AGGAUGCCAAGAACAAGAAUGUGGAGAAUAUCUUGAUUUUGUCUGGUGACCACCUGUACUGGAUGAAUUACAUGAAUUUUGUGCAGAAGCAUAUUGAUACAAAUGCCGAUAUCACAGUUUCAUGUGUCCCAAUGGAUGACAGUCGUGCUUCGAGUUGUGGACUGAUGAAGAUUGACAGAACUGGACGGAUCAUCCAAUUUGCCGGAAAAAAACCAUCAGUGACAACUGUUCAACUUGUUAGCUGACAUCCUUUAAUGCCUGAUUAGGUAUCUAUAAUCAAGACUGAUAUCUCGACCAUACUAAGUUCAUUCUGGCGACCCAGCUUCCUACAUCAUAAAAGUGCACAUGCAGAAUCCUGAGCACUA